UAGGGAAUCUUCGGCAAUGGACGAAAGUCUGACCGAGCAACGCCGCGUGAGGGAAGAAGGUUUUCGGAUCGUAAAACUCUGUUGUUAGAGAAGAACAAGGACGUUAGUAACUGAACGUCCCCUGACGGUAUCUAACCAGAAAGCAACGGCUAACUACGUGCCAGCAGCCGCGGUAAUACGUAGGUGGCAAGCGUUGUCCGGAUUUAUUGGGCGUAAAGCGAGCGCAGGCGGUUUCUUAAGUCUGAUGUGAAAGCCCCCGGCUCAACCGGGGAGGGUCAUUGGAAACUGGGAGACUUGAUUGCAGAAGAGGAGAGUGGAAUUCCAUGUGUAGCGGUGAAAUGCGUAGAUAUAUGGAGGAACACCAGUGGCGAAGGCGGCUCUCUGGUCUGUAACUGACGCUGAGGCUCGAAAGCGUGGGGAGCAAACAGG
rnacentral:rRNA from 1 species